AGCUCUAAUAGCGUAUAUUAAAUUUGUUGCGGUUGAAAAGCUCGUAGUUGAAUCUUACGAGGUGUUUUGUGGAUCAGGUCCGCCCAUUGGGUGUGUACUUGUCUGCCCCUCGUAUUCUUUACUGCCGGUAUGUUCGCCCAGGCUCUUCACUGAGCAGGGGAGUAUCAGAGCUCCGGCUCGUUUACUUUGAGUAAAUUAGAGUGUUCAAAGCAGGCACAAGUAGUCAGCCACUGAAUACUUCAGCAUGGGAUAAUGGAAUAGGACUUUGGUUCUAUUUUGUUGGUUUCUAGGACCGAAGUAAUGAUUAAUAGGGACAGUUGGGGGCAUUCGUAUUUGCCAGUCAGAGGUGAAAUUCUUGGAUUUGGUAAAGACGAACUAGUGCGAAAGCAUUUGCCAAGGA
rnacentral:rRNA from 1 species